CAACCCUCAAGCCCCCGGGCUUGGUGUUGGGGAUCGGCGAGCCUCCGCGCCCGCCGUCCCCUAAAUCUAGUGGCGGUCCCGCUGUAGGUUCCUCUGCGUAGUAGCACCCCCCGCACUGGGAAACAGCGCGGCCACGCCGUUAAACACCCAACUUCUGAAA
rnacentral:misc_RNA from 1 species